rnacentral:rRNA from 1 species
UCGGGAAUUUUGGGCAAUGGGCGAAAGCCUGACCCAGCAACGCCGCGUGAAGGAUGAAGUAUUUCGGUAUGUAAACUUCGUAAGAAUAGGAAGAAUAAAUGACGGUACUAUUUGUAAUGUCCGGCUAACUACGUGCCAGCAGCCGCGGUAAUACGUAGGGACCAAGCGUUGUUCGGAUUUACUGGGCGUAAAGGGCGCGUAGGCGGCGUGGUAAGUCAUCUGUGAAAUCUCCGAGCUUAACUCGGAACGGUCAGAUGAUACUGCUGUGCUAGAGUACAGAAAGGGCAAUCGGAAUUCUUGGUGUAGCGGUGAAAUGCGUAGAUAUCAAGAGGAACACCUGAGGUGAAGACGGGUUGCUGGGCUGACACUGACGCUGAGGCGCGAAAGCCAGGGGAGCAAACGGGAUUAGAUACCCACGUAGUCCCUGAGCGGGCUGGCAAGGCGCAU